CUCUGUCAUUUUCACCUAGGGAAGCCGGAGUGAGAGUCACUGAAAUGUGACUGCUUUCUCCGGUCAAAACCAAGCCUGUUCUGGGCAGGCAAGACAGCAGCAGAUGUUGGUUUGGGUUCAUUCUGAAGGCCUCCAGAUGGGAUAAAUGUUCAAGUUUCCUCAUGAGUGGGCCUUCCUCGGGUCUUCCUCAGGGCCAUCCCAGAGCUAGCCUGCUUUUGAGAGCUGCUUCGUGGGUUACACGGGUUUGCUUUCAGACUUGGAUCCCAGUAAGAACUCACAUGAAGGACUUAAUUAACCCAUCUUUCUCCCACUUUCACUAUAAUGUGUAUGUGUGUGAUGUGUAUAUAUAGUAUACGUAGUGUAUAUACGUGUGUAUGUAAUAUACACACACACCCACCCAGAAACACACACACACAUUUUAUACAGAGGGAGAAUCUUUUCUUCCAUCUAACAGAGUUGCGUAGGCUCAAAUUUCCUUCCAUAGUUUAACGGCCAACAACAACAAAAACAAACAAUCCCCUCCAUCUUGUCACCGGUUACCGCAAGACUUUUCCCACAUUGCUAAUUUGUAACAGCCUCGUAUCUGUUGUUGAGGUGAAGUGGAACACAACUACUAACCCCGUCAUGACUAAACAUGUAGGCAUAAAUCACUCCUUGAUCGUCCUUCCUGAGGAGGGACUUGUGCACAAACAGCGAACCCGGAACGGCGGGCUGAUGCGGAAUCUUAAUGGCAAUAAUGUGAUUUGCAACAGCAACAGCGAAAGAUUUUACAUGUGAGGACAGGAAAAUCCAGACAGGGGCUCUGACUCUCACAGUCAUGCAGUUAGGAGUAAGCGACACAAUCGCGACCGGAACCCAGGUUUUUAGUUUCAUCUCAUGAGUGUCAAUGACUUGGGAAACGGAGACUGCCUUCCCCAACCCAGAGAGAGCUCCAAAGAGAAGUGCAGUGUCCACACUGGUUCUGCAUUUGCAGCCUCAAGAUAUUCUGACACCACUCUAGGAUCCUGAAACAUAGGCCAGGGACUUUCUCUGUGCUGAACACCUUCCUGGGAGGCUGAGGAGUUACGGGAUCCAGGAGUGAGAGCUGCUGGCAUUGCUUUUAUUUUAUUGUCAGAGGAAUGAGCCACAGAUGCUGCAAAGUCUCCAGAAAACACUCAUUUGUCAAUCUUCAGUUCUGUGAUUGUAAAACAUGAAAAGUUCUCUUGCACUGAUCGUCCAUGUGUAAACUUAUUGCUUUAUUAUCAAUCGUUUUAAAUGGCUGGUGUACACAGCUUAGUGUUAGGGUAAAUAUCUGACAAUCACCGUGUAAGGGAAGCUGAUGAUGCACACAGAUAUGAGGCCAUCAAAUCAUCUAAUCUAGACAGUUGCAGAACGAGUUUAAAGAGGAAACUGGACACUUGUGGAAGCUGCAUUUACUCUUGAACCGUUAUGGAACAAGUUAGCACAUCCGGAAUAUUGACUUGCCAAAUGGAACACCCUGAAAGAGUUAAUUCAACCUUGCAACUAUCAACACACUCCAGGGACACAGCCGAUGAACUGA
rnacentral:lncRNA from 1 species